GAUGAACGCUGGCGGCGUGCCUAAUACAUGCAAGUCGAGCGAACAGAUGAGGAGCUUGCUCCUCUGACGUUAGCGGCGGACGGGUGAGUAACACGUGGAUAACCUACCUAUAAGACUGGGAUAACUUCGGGAAACCGGAGCUAAUACCGGAUAAUAUAUUGAACCGCAUGGUUCAAUAGUGAAAGACGGGUUUGCUGGCACUUAUAGAUGGAUCCGAGCCGCAUUAGCUAGUUGGUAAGGUAACGGGUUACCAAGGCAACGAUGCGUAGCCGACCUGAGAGGGUGAUCGGCCACACUGGAACUGAGACACGGUCCAUACUCCUACGGGAGGCAGCAGUAGGGAAUCUUCCGCAAUGGGCGAAAGCCUGACGGAGCAACGCCGCGUGAGUGAUGAAGGUCUUCGGAUCGUAAAACUCUGUUAUUAGGGAAGAACAAAUGUGUAAGUAACUAUGCACGUCUUGACGGUACCUAAUCAGAAAGCCACGGCUAACUACGUG
rnacentral:rRNA from 1 species